rnacentral:rRNA from 1 species
AGAGUUUGAUCAUGGCUCAGGAUGAACGCUAGCGGCAGGCUUAAUACAUGCAAGUCGAGGGGCAUCAAGGUACACGAAAGUGUAUUGUUGGCGACCGGCGGACGGGUGAGUAAUAGGUAGGUAACCUACCUCAUACUGAGGCAUAGCUGGGAGAAAUUCCAGGUAAUUCCUCAUGAGGUUAUAUGACACAUGUGAUAUAAUCAAAGGUAUCGCAAGGUACUGGUAUGAGAUGGGCUUACUGACCAUUAGCUAGUUGGUGAGAUAAGAGCUCACCAAGGCGAAGAUGGUUAGGGGUUUUGAGAGAGAGAUCCCCCACAUUGGAACUGAGAUACGGUCCAGACUCCUACGGGAGGCAGCAGUAGGGAAUAUUGGGCAAUGGGCGGAAGCCUGACCUAGCCAUGCCGCGUGAAGGAAGACGGCCUUAUGGGUUGUAAACUUCUUUACUAUGCGACUAACUAGAUUUACGAGAUAAUUCUAUAGAAUGUAGCAUAGCAAAAAGCACCGGCUAACUCCGUGCCAGCAGCCGCGGUAAUACGGAGGGUGCGAGCGUUAUUCGGAAUUACUGGGUUUAAAGGGUGCGUAGGCGGCUAAGUAAGUUGUCAUUGAAAGGCUACAGCUCAACUGUAGUAGUGGUGGCGAUACUGCUUAGCUAAGAACAUGGGAGGGGUACUUGGAAUGUGUGGUGUAGCGGUGAAAUGCGUAGAUAUCACACAGAACACCAGAGGCGAAGGCGGAGUACUAGACCAUAGUUGACGCUGAGGCACGAAAGCGUGGGGAUCAAACAGGAUUAGAUACCCUGNUAGUCCACGCCCUAAACGAUGAUCACUAGAUAUUGGCGACAAACAGUCAGUGUCCAAGCGAAAGUGAUAAGUGAUCCACCUGGGGACUACGGCCGCAAGGUUAAAACUCAAAGGAAUUGACGGGGGCCCGCACAAGCGGAGGAGCAUGUNNNUUANCCGAUGGNACGCGAGGAACCUUACCUGGNUAGAACGUAUGAGCGAUGCAGCUGAAAGGUUGCAGGCCUGCGAAGGAGUUC